GCUCCGCAGACCUGCCCUGCUCGGCAGCCGGGCCGCGGCGGGGCACAGCGAUGGACGGGGAGGGCAUGGGCUGCGCUUGGGCAGCUGCAGCCCUGAGCAGUUAUCCGCUAGACAAGGGAACAGAGAUUUUCCCUCUGUGCUGGCACUGCUGAGGCACCGCAAAUCCUGGGAGAACACCACAGAGUGAAUUCACUCCCCUCUGGAUUUCCUGCAAGUUAAUUGUGAUGCCACAAAGAUGUUUCCGCAUCCACUUUUCCUCUUUUUGGCAGACGCCUGCCUGGUUCUUGGCCCUGUGUGCUCUUACACAAAGCUUUCCUGAAGCCUUGGUCAGGUCUGUACUGC